AACUAACGCUGGCGGCGCGCCUAAUACAUGCAAGUCGAUCGAUGUGGCAAUACAUAGUGGCGCACGGGAGAGUAACACGUGGAUAAUCUCCCCUCGAGAGAAGAAUAACUAGUCGAAAGAUUAGCUAAUACUUCGUAAGACCACAGAAACGAAUGUUUCAGGGGUAAAAGUCGUAAGACGCUUGAGGAUGAGUCUGCGUCCCAUUAGCUAGUUGGUGAGGUAACGGCUCACCAAGGCGACGAUGGGUAGCUGGUCUGAGAGGAUGAUCAGCCUCACUGGAACUGACACACGGUCCAGACUCCUACGGGAGGCAGCAGUAGGGAAUAUUGCACAAUGGAGGAAACUCUGAUGCAGCGACGCCGCGUGAGUGAUGAAGGACUUCGGUUUGUAAAGCUCUGUUGUCAGGGAAUAAAAUGACGGUACCCGGAGAAGAAGCCCCGGCUAACUUCGUGCCAGCAGCCGCGGUAAU
rnacentral:rRNA from 1 species